UGUCUCCUCCAACUCUCCUUGAAUUGGAUUUAGCCCGCAACCGAAAGGUGUGCGGGCUUUUUUUU
rnacentral:ncRNA from 1 species